AACAAACAAACAAAUAUAUCAAAAUAUGCCCACAAUGUAUCCCUGUUUCUCUCACUCUCUCCAUCUGUUUCUGUUUCUCUCUAUUAUUCACACAAGCACAAACCCUAGACCACCAUUCAAAACCACCACCACCAAAAAUGUCUCACGCCGCGGUGGCGUCGCCCUAUUUCCCCAUCGUGAGGUCGGCGGCGAACUCACCAAGGCAGAGAGCAAACACGAAGAAGGUGACUAACACGAAACGAAACAGGAGCAGCGUUGGAGCAGCAGUGGGGUUCGGUGGAGAGAUGAAGGAAGUUCGGUAGCAGUGCGUGUAGCCGCCUACACUCUACCAUUGCUAAUCCUCUCGAUUUCAGACCUCUUUCAUCAGGGGGGGAAAAGCACAUUGAAAAACUGCCAAGUUUUACAGGCGACAGUUAAUCGAUCAAAGGGAAAUCAAACCGAGAUAUCCAAAGAGGAUCUUAUCUAGAAAAGUUCAUAUUGCAGGGUUUCAGGCCGUGACAUGGAUCUUCUGGAACUGUCAGCAUAUGGCAAUGUCCGAUGAGGACAAGACUCUGGAGGAUGCAACAUUCAGUGAUAUGCUGCUCUUCAUGGCUGGCAAUUUAAAUGUUGUCAAACUUUAGAUGGAGAAUUUCAAAAGCUGUACUCAAAUCUUUCGGCUAGUUUAAAAUAGCUGUCUUUAUUGUAUUUGCUUCAUGACAGGUUUUGACGUAGGUCCUUGAGGGAACAGGUCCUUGAGGGAACAAGUUUUGAUAUUUCAAAAUUCCUAAACAAAGAUGACGAUAUUGAGAUGAUAUUUGGACAGCAGAGGGUGCGGCUCUACAUAAUUGCUGGUGUGAAAGACGAUACCGCCUUUGCCCCACUUACCAAAAAAGAGAUCAGUGUAUGUUGCCUCUCCUCAUCUAAAACUGUCCAGAUUGUGAAAAAGAUCACUUCUGUUGUAUGUCUAGGGUCAUUGAACUGAGUCCUUAUCUUGUUUGUUUCUUGUUUGUAGUUCUACUAUUAAUAAUUUGCUUCUAAAGUAAAAGAAUUAAAAAGUCCCCUGUAUAUUUUCUAUACAUAGAGAGAUCUAAAUAUAUACACAUAAACAUUUGAUAUGUGUAACUAACAGUUUGGGUUUCUUUCUCCUUAAUGGAUGACAAUGAAGGAGAAGAAUAAGCUGACUGUAAUAGCUGAAUGGU